UUAAAUAUGUCGCAAUGUAUUACGAUAAUUAGUAAUGGGUUUGUCCAUAUAGUUUUAAGUGUACAUGUGGAAGCUGUUGUGUCAAAAUAGGAAUAAUAUCAAAUUAAACUAUAAAAAACAUAUGUGAUUUAAUUGCACAAUGGACGCUUAGUACUUUCCAGCCUAUAACUUAUAAUGGACAACAUAAAGCAUAUAUUUCUAAAUUUUUGUUUUAUGUAUCUGGAUAAGAAUUUCAGUUUGAACAUGGUUUUAAUUUCAUUGAUCAACAUUCGCAUACUUUGAUAUUGGAGAAAAAAUGAGGACUGGAAUAAGAUCAGUUAAUUACUAAGUUAAUAAAAAUGCAAAUGAAGGUUUUGAAAGCAGCGAUUAUCGCAGCUGGAAUAAUAAUCAUUUUUUCCUUUUUGAUGAAUACAUUAUUCAGAAACAACUAUUAUUCCAAUGGAAAAGAUGCGUUUCAUAAGGUCACUAUGACAACCGUUGGAUUAUUGAAACCAAACUCUUUUGAAUCAUGGCUUUCGUUAUGGGGACCACACAUGUUAAUCUUAUCUAAUCGACAAAAGGCAAAGGGAUCAAAACUUGAAGGACACAUUUGGAGUCACAGAAAUAGUAACUUUUUACGUAAAUCACAACUUCUUGCUUAUUAUAGACAUAUCAUGAAAUAUAGACACACAAUCAGGAGAAUUUGUGAAAUAGGAUUUAAUGGUGGCCAUUCAGCUCUCAUGUGGGCUAUUCUCUUUAAAGGAAAUAUUGAUAUAGUGGUAUUUGAUACGUGCAUUGAUAAACGAUGCGAUAUCGGGGAAGAAUUAAUUCGUGAAAUGUUUCCAAAAAUCAGGCUCAAAGUUGUACGAGGAGAUUCAACAAAAACAGUUCCUAUAUAUCGUCAUAAUAAUCCUAAUGUAAAAUGUGAUUUUAUAUCAAUUGAUGGCGGACAUCUUGGCGAAGUACCGAAGACCGAUUUGCUAAAUAUGCAGUAUCUAGCGGCAGACAACAACAUAAUUGUAAUGGAUGAUGUCAACAUAAAGUCGAAUGCAACCUUCGAAAAAACAGUUGGAAAAGCCUGGAAAUAUGCAAUUACAAACAAACUCGUUAAACAAAUUGGAGAAUGCAAUCCCUGCACAACAGAUUUUACGACAACUUGUCAAUUUUGUUUCGGGAAGUAUUUAAAUAAUAUGAUUUAACUAGAUGAAGAGUUUUUGAUCAAUUCUGUAACCUUUAAAGAUGAUGUCUCCAAUAUUUUGACAUUUGUGAUUUCAAUUUGCAUUCAGAUGCCCAUGAAUUUCAUUGAUUGUUUUCAUUUUUUUUACUAUCAGUAUACUUAUAGUGAGAACGAGCUUUAACAUUACAAUUUGUCUCGCACAUAAAAAAAGGCAUGGUGGUUAUCCUAGACAAAGUAUUAAAAACACUCAAAUGACUUUAAGACUACAUUAAUUUUCGCACAAUUAACAGGAUUACAACAAUUACAUCAUGCUGAUACAUAUUUUUUCUGAUUUCAGUUUUUAAUAUCAUGUCAAGAGGACAAUACACAUUUGUUACUUUGUAAAGAUCACUUAAAAUGUUCUUUUCCCAUGGCAGUUUAUAAUCUUCCAGGCAAAUCUGGUGUGGGUUAAUCUGUUUAAUAUUUAUAUAUUAUUGUAAUUCCUGAUUUCAACCUAUCCAAUAUUACCACCCUGAUAAUCACUUAUUCUUAUUUGUAUGGUUAUGAAUUCUGGUUCAGUAAAUAUAUUUUAUAUUUAUUAUUAUUUUUUGUGAUACAACUCUUUAAAAUAAAUUCUUGGACAGACCAAAUUAUAACUUAGUAACAUUUGUGACAGUUUGCUUGUUAAACACAACUAUUCUAAAUUUUAAGAACCCCGCCCAUGUUAACUUAACGGUGAUGCUUAUAGAAACAUUUCAUCGGUUUGUUAUUUCAUCAAUAUAUUUAGAUAAAAAUCUUUCUUAAAACUUAACAACACAAAUAUAUGAUUCUCACAUUUCUUUUUAAGUUUAUAUAAAUACUAUUUACCAAACAUGUCUGUAUAUUCAAUAAAAAUAUUCAUAUUAUCA